rnacentral:rRNA from 1 species
CCUACGGGCGGCUGCAGUGGGGAAUAUUGGACAAUGGGGGGAACCCUGAUCCAGCCAUGCCGCGUGUGUGAAGAAGGCCCUCGGGUUGGAAAGCACUUUCAGUGAGGAAGAACGCCUGGUGGUUAAUACCCAUCAGGAAAGACAUCACUCACAGAAGAAGCACCGGCUAACUCCGUGCCAGCAGCCGCGGUAAUACGGAGGGUGCGAGCGUUAAUCGGAAUUACUGGGCGUAAAGCGCGCGUAGGUGGCUUGAUAAGCCGGUUGUGAAAGCCCCGGGCUCAACCUGGGAACGGCAUCCGGAACUGUCAAGCUAGAGUGCAGGAGAGGAAGGUAGAAUUCCCGGUGUAGCGGUGAAAUGCGUAGAGAUCGCGAGGAAUACCAGUGGCGAAGGCGGCCUUCUGGACUGACACUGACACUGAGGUGCGAAAGCGUGGGUAGCGAACAGGAUUAGAUACCCUAGUAGUC